rnacentral:tRNA from 1 species
UCCUCAGUAGCUCAGCUGGUUAGAGCACCUGACUGUUAAUCAGGGGGUCGCUGGUUCAAGUCCAGCCUGGGGAG